rnacentral:rRNA from 1 species
AAUCAACGCUGGCGGCGUGCCUAACACAUGCAAGUCGAACGAGAAAGUGGGGGCAACCCUGCGAGUACAGUGGCAGACGGGUGAGUAACACGUGAACAACCUACCCUUGAGUGGGGAAUAACACCGCGAAAGCGGUGCUAAAACCGCAUAAAAUCCUUUUAUCGCAUGGUGAAGGGAUCAAAAGCGCAAGUUGCUUGAGGAGGGGUUCGCGGCUGAUUAGCUAGUUGGUGAGGUAACGGCCGACCAAGGCAACGACCAGUAGCCGGCCUGAGAGGGCGAACGGCCACACGGGAACUGAGACACGGUCCAGACUCCUACGGGAGGCAGCAGUGGGGAAUUUUGCGCAGUGGGCGAAAGCCUGACGCAGCGACGCCGCGUGGAGGAUGAAGGCCUUCGGGUCGUAAACUCCUGUCGAUGGGGACGAAAGCCUAGCAAUAGGAUUGACUGUACCCGUUGAGGAAGCCACGGCUAACUCCGUGCCAGCAGCCGCCGUAA